rnacentral:rRNA from 1 species
CCCUUAGAUGUCCUGGGCCGCACGCGUGCUACACUGACACUUACACCGAGUUUUUCCGGCCCCGAGAGGUGGCUGGUAAUCAGUAAUAGGUGUCGUGAUGGGGAUAGAUCUUUGGAAUUAUUGAUCUUGAACGAGGAAUGCCUAGUAAUCGCAGGUCAUCAGCCUGCGAUGAUUACGUCCCUGCCCUUUGUACACACCGCCCGUCGCUCCUACCGAUUUCGAGUGGUCCGGUGAACCUUUCGGACAGAGAGAGUCUCGUACAAUCUCUGAAAGUCAAGUAAACCACAUCACUUAGAGGAAGGAGAAGUCGUAACA